GGUAAUACGGUAGGAAACAGUGCAUCUUUCGUGGGCCUAGAUCGUAUCGGGGGAACGGAGGACGCGCGUGUGCGUUCUGGUCCGUGGACCAGAACGUUCUCAUCUCAACCGAGCCACGGAUCAGAACAGAGGAAACCCUCGUCGCCCCCCUCUCUUCCCCCAAAACCGGCGGCGCUCGAUCUGCACCGGCGGCCACGUGAUGGAAGAGGCUGGCCUCGAUUUCCUGCUUGAUGCCGUCCACAGGCCAUCGCCGUCUUGUUUCAGGGGAGGAGUUCGAGGACUGUCUUGAACACCCAGAUCCGGUUCCUCUGGCCUUGUUCCUGAGAAGCGAAGCCAGCCACGCCGUCCCUGCGGACUCAAAUGCCGGGUCUGGUUGCGGGCAACAGGACGGGGAGUGCGCCGGCGUCCUGAUGCUUCUCUGACUCGGUCGGGGCAGUCACUGACCCCGAGGCCUCUGGUUGGACAAAAAGGUUACAGCUCGGUAGUGCACCACCAGACCAGACACCUUGUCCCUGGGAUGAGUGCUCACAAUUAUGCAGAGGAACCGACAAAGAGUGUAGUGCGACCUGCACUUGCUCGGGCGAGGCAUAUGAUUUCUACAAUUUGUACACUUGGGAGAUCGGGUUCGGAAUUAGAUAUGAUAAGAUCAGGCUCAACGCUGAGAGGACAAAAUGCAUGGAGGAGAUAGUCUGCGGUUGCUCGGUGCCUACUGAACUCUGCUUACAUAGUUAUAUUUGAGAAAAUGGUGAGGCAUGGCCGUCCUGUGGUAUUUGUGUGUGUGGUAGUCUUGACAUUUUGUUUGUUGGAAAGUAUGCAGGGAUUGGGCCAAUGUACUCCCCAAGUACUUCUGGUUACUGUACAACUUAGACUAUACAUGCUUGGCGAGCAGUCAUAAUUCUGAACGAAUGAACAAUUGGAGGCUAGGUCAGCAUUGCCUUACAAAUUCUACCUGUGUUCAUGCACUCCUCCGGUUGUUGUAGCGAUGAUCUGUUCCUUUCUCAGUGGGACAUGCGGGUCUUGAAAGGUUCAAGACAAUAACAAGCAGUUACUACUUACUACCGGGGAGUGCAUGGAAUCAUUGUAAGCCCUCAUGGACACCCGUAUUACUUUUUUAUCAUAUUCUUGUGACACUCAACGCCGUCUUUUUGGAACUGUUUUACUCAGAUGUAGUAAUAUAGUACUCUAGGAUCGGUUGAAUUGGUUCACAGUUUCACUUUAGCCAUUGACCUGAACUUAUCAUUUUCACGGCUCGCUGUUAUCUACAUUUAGAAAAUAAUGUGAUUUCUGUUGUACUGGCUAACAUCUAACCGCCAUUUUAGUUUGAGCUUACCUGUUAUACUUGAAUGGACAGAACAACGUAUUGCUAAUUGGCACACACCAAAAAAAACACUCUCAACUUGUUUCAUGCUUGAAAGGUUGGCUUGCCUCUUUGUUCUUGAUACUCUUCUUCGUAAUGUGAUUCUGAUCUUUUCUAUUCAAAUAUAUAAUGAAGUGACUAAAAUAUCAAUGAUUAGUUUCAGGCAUUUGCGGAAUCAUUAGGAAUGAAUUUUCUUGAGAGUUAUGCUACGGAAUCCAUCAAUGUGGAGAGAACUUUCUUAAAUAUGUCAUCAGAAAUGAAGAAAAGAUAACCAGGAGCUACACACUUUUAGAGGCCUUUUUUCUUCCCAGUUUCUCUGAAAUGUUAGAUCUCAUCGAAUGACAUGUAUUCUUGUGAAAAAGAAAGGCUUUGGGAAUUCUAUCCAAUAUGUUUGCAUUACUGGUUUAAAAAAUAUGAUAUGCUCAUCUUUUUAUUGGGUUGUGUGCAUGAUCAAGAGAAGCCGAGAGAGCAAUAAUUUCUUGCUUUUCGGAAGAAAAACUGCAAGCAAGAGCAAUGACGAACAAUUUCUCAAAUACUUCCCAUGGAGCCUUUCAUUACAUUAAUUCUGCAGAGUUCAUAAUUGACACAAACAGUUUAUUUAGGUAUUGGCUUUAGUUUUUCUGAUGGCUAAGGACAGAUCAUGCAGUUAUCUCCUCUUAUGACUACUUCUGCUGCCUUCUAAAAAUCUGGUGGGCAUGCUUUCCAUGUGGACUGCUAGUCUUGCCUUCUGUUCGAGUGAAGGAUUUACUUGCUACUGAAAUUUUUACAUGCCUGCAGAAUGACGAGCCAAUCUGCCACGGAGAGGAAAUCUACUGUCCAUGUUCACAUGAAAGGGCAGCCCAUACAGCAGCAGAACAGCAGCUGCUGCUCCGCAUAGGCUCAGCAAGACUCCAUUCCCAUGUGUUAUGAUAUUGUUGAGUGGACAUGAUUUUGUUGUGUUACUGUUUACCAUGGAGUACAUAUUUAAUACCUGCCAAUGUAUUAGGUGCAUUUGAUGGAUCUUAGGUAACGAAAAUUGUGUGAAAACAUGGUUAAUUAAAGCUCAGUAAUCAUCACCCUGUCAUAUUUCCCAAA